UACGUAGGGCGCAAGCGUUUAUCCGGAAUUAUUGGGCGUAAAGAGCUCGUAGGCGGUUUGUCGCGUCUGCCGUGAAAGUCCGGGGCUCAACUCCGGAUCUGCGGUGGGUACGGGCAGACUAGAGUGGAUGUAGGGGAGACUGGAAUUCCUGGUGUAGCGGUGAAAUGCGCAGAUAUCAGGAGGAACACCGAUGGCGAAGGCAGGUCUCUGGGCAUUAACUGACGCUGGAGGAGCGAAAAGCAUGGGGAGCGAACAGG
rnacentral:rRNA from 1 species